rnacentral:misc_RNA from 1 species
GAAAAUGAUAGGAGGAAGCAAAUACAGGAAGAACAAAUCCUCACUGAACACCAAUAACCGCGAAUUCUUCCCUCUGUCAAUAAGCAAAACGACGGCACCAGCACACAAGCCCAAAAGAAGGGCAGCGAUAGACUCAUUAGCCCAGCGAUUCUCUUCAAGGAGGUGACCUAUUACGAUAAAAGCACAGAGGAGAGCAUAGAAGACGCAGAGAGCUAUUACAGUGCUGGUUUAAAGAACAGAUGGUGAAUCUUGAAUUGGCAUUGUUUCAUGAGAGGCCAUUUUG